AGAUGACACAUUUUUUGUGACGUAUGUUGUUUUUGGGAAAGAUAGUUGCCAGUCAUCCAAACAUAAUUGAUUUAUUGUUCUUUGUUGUUGUAAAAAAAUAUUCACUCUGCGCAUGGGAAAGUCAGAUAAAAGAAUGAUAACAAGAACAGGUCGGUCAAUAAAAUGAAUAGACACAAAGACUGUUAUAUUCAUGCUAAAUUGAAUUAAAGACCGUUACAUGCAAUGUCAUCAUCCGUCUAACGGUUUUAAAAUACACAAACCUGGUUUCCACAUUCUGGUAUGCUAAACUGUCAACUGACGAUGCUAAACUGUCAUCAAAUUUAUAUAAAUACGAACAAAUAUGUCACGAAAGUUAUUUAUCUCAAAUAUAACGUUAUUGGUUAUUUUACCAUUACUGUCGAUUGUACUUAAAUGCUUUUUUUAAAACAUAGUAAAGAUCGAAAAGCAUCAAA